CUCCCGGACCCUCCCCCGCAACGGCUCCCAGCUUCCGUUGAGGCUGCCCGCGGGAGAAGGCGCGCCUGCGCGGGCUCGGGGGCGGGGUCGCUAACGGUCCUGCGGCCGGGGGCGGGGCCGCGCGUGGCCACCUGGUGCUGGCGCGAGCUGGGCUUGAUGCGGGCGCGCGCUCCCGGGCGUGCAGGGCUGGCGGCCCGCGGUCCGUGGUGUUCCUGCUUCGCCUUGUGUGCGCCCUUGAGGAGUGGCCCGCGGGGACCGGAGUCCCGGCCGACCCGUGUCUGAGCCUCGCGGCAUGCUGAGGUGGAGCUGCAAACCCACCAGCCACGUGAUGAGCAUGGCCACCAGCUGGCCACAUAGCUGCCUCCUGCCUCCCACCUCCCUUGGACCCACCCAGCAUUUGUGGGCCUUCCUUAUGAAUGGAGCUCUGCCUGCUUUUCUACGUUAAAGAGUAUUCUGAAGAGAAUGCAAUAUAUGUACAAGGUAUACGUUC